AUAUCAGAAUGGAUAGUUAUAAAAUGAACCAAAGCUUUAUUAUUCAUUGAAAGAUAAGAAUGCCUUGUCUGUUUGGCAAGUUCACAAGCCUCACAAACUAACCAUUCUCAUUUGCAUUGUCUAAACAAAAUCUAAGGUUAAAAAAGAAGAAUGUCCUAAUCUCCUAUGCCAUUGAUAAUAUUUUCAUUAGCACUCAUAGACUUUCCUAACAAAGCGUAGUUUGCUCCAAGAUUUGAAGGACCACAUACAUCAUCUAACAGAUAUAGACCAUCUCGCAAUCUA
rnacentral:misc_RNA from 1 species